UUUAUUUCUUUCAUAAAACAUUUACAUACAUAGACAAACAUAUUUAUGCAUCAUUCCUGGAGAGUAAAUGAGUACAACUCAAGAAUAAAUUUACGUGUCGCUUCUAGGGCUGGGCAAAUCUCCCGAACCGAACCGACUGAACUAAACCCGAACCAAACUGAACCGAACCCGACGGUUCUUGUCAAAUUAAAUACCCGAACGGGUAUCUGAAUUGAGAACUGACGGGUUCGAUUCGAUUUUCGAUUCUAGACCAAGAAUCGAAAAACCGAAUAAGAACCGAAUCUUUCUAAUUUUUUUUUAUAUUGAGUAAAUCAAAUUAUUUUAAUUUUAAUUUUUUCUAAACAAAUUAACAAUUUCUAGAUUCAAAUUUUUGGCCCAAUAAUUUGUUUCAUUUUUAAUUUUUUAAUUUUUGGCCCAAUUGCCCAUUUUAUUGUUUCAUUUCUUAGCCCAACAAGAUCCAAUCCACUAAAUAACCCUAAACACCUACACUAAAGUACAUAACGUUGUCUCGACUCUUGCACUCACUCUCGUAGCCUCGCUAACAUUCCAAAACCUAUACAAUCGUCGAUCGACGCUGUAACAUCCGAUCGAAGCUAUGAACUCCGUCGACCAAAAUUUUGACCGUAGCGAUCAUUUGAACAAGGUAGCCUACUAGUUUCUGACAUUCCAAAACCAUUGAAUGUACCAUUGGUUGUAUUUAUAUAAUGUUGUUAUAAAUGUUAAAAAAUUUAAUUAUAGUACAGAACCAAACGGAAUCGAACCGAACCCGAACGGUUCCAUAAUUAUAUUUGGACUCGACGAUUCGAUUUACUAGAUACCCAAAAAUUUUGAUUUGGUUCGGUUCUAAAGUACCCAAAAAUUUUGAUUUGGUUCGGUUCUCUUUAGAACCGAACCGAACCGACCCGCGCCCAUCAAAGAGAACCGAACGGAACCGACCAGUGCCCACCCCUAGUCGCUUCAAUCUUUGAUUUGGCACCAAAUACCAAAAAAAGAAAAAAAAAAAGUGGGGUUAACUAUUUAAAGACUAGGGUUGCCCAAUUUCCCCCAAGAGACCCCUGUUUUACCUCCAAAGUAAAACAAUUUUUAACCACAUAUUCUCAUUUUAACCAUCAUUCACACAAUAAAAUAUUUGAAACAUAAAUUUAAAAUUUUUUU
rnacentral:lncRNA from 1 species